AUUAAACGCUGGCGGCAUGCCUUACACAUGCAAGUCGAACGGCAGCACGGGGGCAACCCUGGUGGCGAGUGGCGAACGGGUGAGUAAAGCAUCGGAACGUGCCCUGGAGUGGGGGAUAACGUAGCGAAAGUUACGCUAAUACUGCAUAUUCUGUGAGCAGGAAAGCAGGGGAUCGCAAGACCUUGCGCUCUGGGAGCGGCCGAUGUCGGAUUAGCUAGUUGGUGGGUAAAGGCCUACCAAGGCGACGAUCCGCAGCGGGUCUGAGAGGAUGAUCCGCCACACUGGGACUGAGACACGGCCCAGACUCCUACGGGAGGCAGCAGUGGGGAAUUUUGGACAAUGGGCGAAAGCCUGAUCCAGCCAUGCCGCGUGAGUGAAGAAGGCC
rnacentral:rRNA from 1 species